GACGAACGCUGGCGGCAUGCCUAAUACAUGCAAGUCGAGCGAACAGAUGAAGUGCUUGCACUUCUGACGUUAGCGGCGAACGGGUGAGUAACACGUAAGGAAUCUACCUAUAAGCGGGGGAUAACAUUCGGAAACGGGUGCUAAUACCGCAUAAUAUCUUCUUCCGCAUGGAAGAAGAUUGAAAGACGGCUCUGCUGUCACUUAUAGAUGACCUUGCGGUGCAUUAGUUAGUUGGUGGGGUAAUGGCCUACCAAGACGAUGAUGCAUAGCCGACCUGAGAGGGUGAUCGGCCACAUUGGGACUGAGACACGGCCCAAACUCCUACGGGAGGCAGCAGUAGGGAAUCUUCCGCAAUGGGCGAAAGCCUGACGGAGCAAUGCCGCGUGAGUGAAGAAGGCCUUCGGGUCGUAAAACUCUAGUUAUAAGAGAAGAACAAA
rnacentral:rRNA from 1 species